AUUCUUGCCCACAUGCCAUUAGAAUUGAAAAACUGAAGCACUCAUACAAUGAAUCAUACCAUUGUAAAGAUGCAGAUUGUAGAGUUGGUCCUGACCUAGGCAGUUCUGUUUCAUUUUCCGUCAUAUCCCAAGAGAGACUUAGCUAUGCUGUCCACCUAGCCAGAAGAGAUGUGAAACGAAGACAAUUUGAAAAACAUAUAAAAGAACAUCAUCUCAGAAGUCAGCCUCAAAGCUCUCAGAAGUGUGGACAUACUAAGUAUAAAAUACCCGACCACAGGGUGGAAAGGAAGGAAUCAAAGAGUCAAGCAGCCUGUCAGUGCAGCCACCAGCCAUCCAAAGUAGAAAUCUCCAGCUCCGGUGCCAAAGUAUACCUUUACUCAUCUCAUCCAGGCCAGUCAGAUCUUACUGUGCCAAAUUCGCCACCCACCCAUGAUCCGGGACUUCAGCCUCAUCCCAGGAUAGGUGACCACAAAAACAUAAGUGAACAGAAAAGCCUGCUAGAAGUCCAGCGACUCCAGAAAGAACUGAGUAGUUGUAUCCACAAAAUUGAAGAGGUAACUAAAAAAGUUCUUAUUCUACACUGCUGCCAUAGAGAUUGCUCUAAAACAUGAAUCUUACCAUGUCAGACCUCUGCUUAAAAGACUUUAGUGGCUCUCUGUAACUUAGAGGAUGAAAGCUAAACUCUUCAGCGUGGCAUGUAAGACUUCACGAUCCGGCCCGCCUACAUUUCCAGAGUCACCUCCACCUUCACUCCUUCAUGCUAAAUUCCUAUUACACUGGGGACCAAGGGAUGGAAGGUGAACACUGCCUAUUCACCAUCUUGAACUGGAAACCAGUAACUGUUUUUUGGGUGCAUGAAUGAAGAGCCUUUUUUUCAUUUUCAAGUGACUUGAAUUAAUAAUGGUUAUAUUUGGACAAGAGGAGAUAUAU
rnacentral:lncRNA from 1 species